GAUGAAGGUUCUGGAGAAUGUACAUUGCGAAACAGCAAUUCCAUCCAACCUGCCCGAUUGACUUAAUACAUGCACUACGGGUGCCUGGGUCAGGAUGCCGUGAGCAGCAUCAGCCCUCCGGUGGCCUUGGAUACGUUCCUUAAUGUCUCCACAACCCACUGUCUCCGUCUGUAACGUGGAGCCAGAGAGAGAACUCGCCUCAAUGCUGCUGGGAGGGUUCAGUACCGACUCUCACAUGAGUGCACCUGGAGGGAAACUGGAAACAUCACUGAAUUACGAUUCGGUCACAGUCGUGCCAUGGAGAUGGCCUGGCGAUUAAACACAACAAAAGAAAGAGUUGGAUUCUAAUAGAAGCUCAAACCCAGACAAAAAGAAAACCCAAAUCCGGUCCCGGUGAGCCAAGUGAAGACCACAUCAGAACUGCACGAUGAGACCAGCGUUUCUGGAGCGCUAACGGUGCCUGGCACGUCAUCUGGAGCCACAGGGACAGGGUAGCUGAGUUUUUACGAUCAAUUGUAUCGAUCCAGGAAAACGGAAACCAAAAUAACUCUGUGAGAAAGCAACACUGGAAAGAUCAAUCAGAUGGAAUAAAAAUUGGUACUCAGGUGUGGGGGGGAUUGCACAGAAGGAGCAGAGAGCACUUCCGAUGACCUGAACUCCUCUGAUGAACGGGCUUAUGGUGCUGUCGUCCGCCUCCCUCACCACCACGCGAGCCCUGGAGGAGGUCCUGCACCCGGCGGCUCUCAGUGGACAUCCCUCCUGUUUGCCAGGCUUCUGUCACAUGGUGCCCCAGCCUAUUGACUGCUGUGUCGAACUGAUCAAGUGGGAUCCACAGAGAGUAGAAGAGAAGGACAAAGACUGUGAGAGAGACACAUU